rnacentral:rRNA from 1 species
GCUUACGGCCAUAUAAUCCUGGGUACGCCCGAUCUCGUCUGAUCUCGGAAGCUAAGCAGGGUCGGGCCUGGUUAGUACUUGGAUGGGAGACCGCCUGGGAAUACCAGGUGCUGUAAGCA